rnacentral:piRNA from 1 species
UGGGAAAAAAAUUCCACUGGCAAAAAAAA